rnacentral:rRNA from 1 species
GUGUCGUGAGAUGUUGGGUUAAGUCCCGNAACGAGCGCAACCCUUGUCCUUAGUUGCNAGCGGUUCGGCCGGGCDCUCUAGGGAGACUGCCGGUGACAAACCGGAGGAAGGUGGGGAUGACGUCAAGUCCUCAUGGCNDUUAUGUCKAGGGCUACACACGUGCUACAAUGGCGCGUACAGAGGGAAGCCAAGCCGCGAGGUGGAGCAGACCCCAGAAAGCGCGUMGUAGUUCGGAUUGCAGUCUGCAACURGACUGCAUGAAGUCGGAAUCGCUAGUAAUCGCGGAUCAGCAUGCCGCRGUAAAUACGUUCC